AACGAGAUGCAUCGAUCCUUACCGCGCGAGCGCCAUCGGACGGAAGACAGCAGUGGGAACGCGCGCAGGGUAGAUUUUCCCAAGAAAAUUAUCUCGAUACAGCCAGCGGCGCAUCUCGCCGCCGACGAAGUCCCCAGUCCACCUCGCCACCACCUCCCACCCGCCUCGUGCCCUAUCGUGCUGCUACACUACAUUUCCUCUGAUAAUGGUGUCCAGCCUGAAUGGGAUGUCUGUUAGAUAUUCGCUUGCUGACAAUACCAUGGAGUCCCCUACGAGGUCAGAGGGUCCCUCUUGCGUCGGGUUUGUGUGAUCUGAUUCCGUGUACAUUUCCUGUGCACACUCCAUCCAUGGUAGUUUCAUGUAUACAUCUCUGAUCGCUUGUCAAAAAUCGGAAAUCGAAUAGGGAUAUGAUGUAUAAACUCUUUUGAUCCUGUACUAUCCAGUAGGAUUAGUGUUGAUUAGUUCCUCAUUUAUUUUGGUUAUACUAUGCACUUUUGCCUAAAAGGUGCCUAUUGUUCCAUCUUAUCCACAAAGUUCUCAAUUAAACUGUUUUUUUUUGGAAAAGGAGGCUUUCCCCCGGCCUCUGCAUCUAAGCGAUGCAUGCAGCCAUCUUAUUAAAGUUCUCAAUAAAACUGUAAACACCCUAAUUUUCUCGUUAAUCUUUUGAGAAACACAGCCAAUUUUCUUGGAUUUUUAGAUAGCUGCAGAUGGUAUUGGUGUCAGACUGUCAGUAACGUGUGGCUUCUGUUUAUAUUUCAGCAAUUACUGGAGCCCCCAAAAAAAAGAUUCGGGGAUGGUUGCUUCAGUGUGAUUGCUAUUAAAUUUUAAAUAGUGGGGAUGCCAUUUCCAUCCAUUCAUCUCUUCCUCUAGCUUGUUUCAGGUUGGAUGAAGACGAAGAACAAGGUGGCCUCUUUGUUUGACUGAUAUAUUUGGCCUCUUUUGCCAAUACAAGAAGGUGAAGCAAGUCUGUAGAUCAUUGCAACUACUAUCAGAAAUGGGCGAGCGCUUGCGGCAGGGCAAGGACACCUCGAGGACAUACUGAAAAGCCCUGGCACUACUUCAAGUUGUGCAAAUCACUUCAGCCAUGUGAUGUAUUUAUCUGCUGGUUGUAAAUUUGUAAUAGAAUGCAGAGUAGUGUUCCUUUCAAAAAAGAAAGAGAGGGAGAGAUACAGCCCUCUAUUGCCCCCUUUCUUGUAACAUGAACAAUUUUCUCAUAAAUGGCAGAUCGAUCAGACUGCUCCACAUCACACUGGAGUAAUUUCGUUUUUUUCAGUGUACAGAAAAAUUGACAGACAGAUAUGAAAGAAAAUAAAGAGCAUUAUCAAAUAUA